UGCCUUCGGGCUCUGCUGGAAGUGCCCUAAACCAAAGCAUCAUCGCCCAAAUGUUCUACGCCCUUUGUCCCAAAGAAACAAAUGCCCUCGACUGUUUUUAAGUUUGAAAUUCAACCCUUUUUUUUGGGUUUUCUUAUUGCCUGGGAUUGGAGUAAUUGCUUUGCUUUGAUUUGUACCUAUGAAGAAUGAAGAGGUUUUUCUGGCAGAAUAUUUCCUACCACCAUGGAUAGAAGCAGUAAGCCAGUGACCGUCAGUUGUGAAAAUGGUAAGAAAACUUACCCUAGCUGCAAUGGUUUAUCCUAUACCAGUCAAUUUUAUUUGGAUGGUUCAGAUCUUUUUAGAAUGCCGACAACUGCAUAUUUUCUGAAGGCAGAGAAUCAGCUAGGGCUUUAAGUUUUCCUGUAGAAAUUGUUCAUCAUCAACCUCUAACAUGAUUCAACUCUGCAAUUUGAAGACCUUCAGAUUGGUUUACUCAAUAUUUUCUUGUACAUUUGCUUCCAAAACAAUCAGACUGUUGGUUGGAGAUCCAAAACCCUCACAUUUUCUCUUCAGAGUCAGUUGCUCUGCAGACACGUCCCCUCAGAAAUCUCAGCAAACCAACACAAUUUCACAGUCACUUACCUCAUAAACUCUUGUGGGUUGUCCCCAGAAGGAGCGAUUACAGGUUCUAAGUUGGUCAAGUUGCAGUCACCAGAAAGAGCAGACUCCGUUUUAGAGUUUCUGAGAAACUAUGGAGCAUCUCAAACCCAGAUAUCAAAACUUAUUAGGACACGUCCAACACUCCUUUCAACUGAUCCUGAGAAAACCCUUUUGCCAAAACUUGAGUUUUUCAGCUCUCUUGAAAUUUCAAAAGGGGACUUAUUAAAAACUCUGGCUGUUAAUCCACACCUUUUGGCAGUCAGCUUGAGAAAUCGGAUUUUGCCCACUUAUAACUUCCUCAGGAGUAUGCUCUCUGAGAAAAAUGUUGGUGUUGUUUUCAAGCACAACUCAUGGAUUUUCUUGGAAGGUCACUGCAAGCAUGUGGUGCCAAAUAUUGGGCUUUUGAGAGAAUCGGGCAUGCCUCAACCUUGCAUUUCUUUUUUGCUAACUCGUGGAACUCGCGUUUUGAUGGUAAAUCCUGAAAAAUUUGGUCAACUUGUGAAUGAGGCUAAGGAAAUGGGAUUUAAUCUGGAAAAAUCAACUUCAGUGAAUGCCCUGCGUGCAUUCGGUGGUAAGAAUAAGUUGGUAUUGAAUAGAACUCGAAAAGUUCUUAAGACAUGGGGUUGGUCUGAGGAUGAUUUUCUCUCUGCUUUCAGGAAGAACCCACGGUGUAUGAUUGUCUCAGAGAAGAAACUUAUGCAAACAAUGGAUCUUUUAGUGAACAAGAUGGGAUGGUCGUCAGGAAUGAUUGCCAAAUAUUCUGUGGUCCUCGGUCUCAGUUUGGAGAGGAGACUUAUCCCAAGGUGCUCUGUUGCUAAAGUUCUGUUGUUGAAAGGUUUCAUAAAUGAGAACAUGAAUCUGGGUUCUCUGGUGAAACCGGCAGAGAAGCAGUUCUUGGAGAUUUUUGUGAACCGAUAUCUUGGCGAAGUACCUGAAUUGUUAAGUGUGUAUCAAGGGAAGGUAGAUAUCCAGGAUGUCUGAUCUGAUAUGUUGAAACGGGUGAGGAUGUAAUUAUUUUAGCCACCUGAUGCUGCAUCAUUCAUAUGCAUUAGCUUGCUUUUGGCACAAUACUAUAAUGGUGUCCUCUACCCUAAAAAUUUUGUCUUUAAAGUAAGGUUUAAAUUGCAUCCCACAUCUUACUAAAAUUUUGCAGGAAGUAAAUUCAGUUUUUCGUUCUUCUACUCGGCAGCCUACCUGUUUUUAAUUAGAUUUAUAUACUUUCUUAUUAGAACAAAUGCCUGCCGUAGCGUCGCCAGAAUUGUUCUGUUUAUGGUUCCUGACUUUGGUUACACUUGAAAGUUGAUUUUGUAGAAUGUGCGCAUAUACUGCUUCUAUUAGGGUACAAUGUAUUGUAUUUUGGGUGAGGAGUGGAAGAAACUAAUUU